AUGGACCAUAUUACCCUUAUUAACUAAUUAGGUUUCCUCUUGGGUGCUUAUAUAAGGAGAAUUAUGUAGAGGUCAAAAGGUUACACACUUAGACAUAACCUAAUAAUCAUAACAUCAUCGACCUCUUCUCCAUACCGAAUCCCCUAUUCGGUUUUCAUCAUCACCGUCAUCAGUUAGCACCCUAAGGAGGAACCAGAUCACAAUGACAACUAUGUCGAACUCGAUGUCAUCUUCUCUGAUUGGCUCCACUGCACUGUCUGCUGUAAUAGGUAUGUUUUCAUGUUUUCCAUUAUGAUUAAACAGAACUGAUCCAACAACAACAUCGCAUUCAUUAUAAAUCCUAUUUACACACAUCAAAAUUUAGUCUCAUUAUAUAUAUCCAUCAUCACAAUAUACACCCUAAGAUCAAAAUGACUAGAACUUAGAGUAGCAUGUUGGAUUUAAUCAACAAUGUUUUAAAUGGAGGGAAUGUUAAAACCACUAAACAUCUAGCGUUGAUACAUUGCAUUCUUCAAUGGAACAUUGCCCCAUAAUUAAUCAUGAACAUAAGUGAAAUCAUAUAAAAAGUUUAUCCUUAUCUUGGAAUGAAUUUUAUUAUCUAUAUAAACCUCUCGUAAAUUUCAUGUACGUAAUAGUAAUUUUACCACAAUCAAACCACCCCCAUUUAUGUUAUUCUCCUAUAUAUUAACAACCAAACGAAAUGAACAGUAAAACUCAGAGGGUAUUUAAGGGUUUUUUAACAUAUAAAAAAACCCAACACUUCUGACGGUAGAAAGACUAGACAGAGACUGCUGAAAGAGAGAGAGAGAGAGCGUGCGACGGAGGAUAGGGAGAGACGCGGCGGUGAUGGAGGAACCGGCUAUGGUCUCCGGCCGACGGUAUUGUUGUCGCUGAAUGGGAACUUCACGGCCGGGGUUCUAGGGUUCCGACGCUCCGGUCAUUACCACAGCUAAUAUCUCUAUUCUCCCUCCAAUCACAUGAUAUUCAUGGCAAGAUGAUGCUCUGAUCUGGAGUCAUUCCGGUACAAGCAAAGCAAAGGCAUCAUAUCUCCGAAUCUCCGAUUACCUACUAUGCGUCACCAGUACCAACAUCCAAUGGCGGGGAUGGUGUUUUCCGACGAUUCUACGGGUUGACGGCUCCUGGCCGGUUCUGUUAGGAAGCUGGGGUUCCGGCCAAUUUCUGGUAACUCAGAUGCGUUUCCGAUGAACCAAUCGCUGGCCCGAAUAUAUGGUUUUUGACGGAGAGCGACAAGAUAUGUUACAUCAGAUGCUGCCAUUGCUCUGACAAUGACGGCGGUCAAGCAGUUAGGGUUUCGAUCAACUUCUGGUAACAUCUGGUGAGGUUUCGGCGAAGAUUCUAAGAUUAUGGUGAACGGGCAGACGAGCGGGGUUUGUUUGCCCUAAUCAGUUGGAGAUAAGAACUGAUGGUGGUCCAAGGAAGAUUGAUCGGGAUAAAGUUGGUUAGAGUGGGCAGGAAGUUAUGGAGGAGUUCUUCUAUGGAAAUCAGUUCGGGUGGGAAAGGGUUUAAAGGGAAGUACAUGGGAGUGGGAUCGGAUGGGUCAGAUUCAAGAUAAUUUCUCCUGUGCAGAAGAGGCAACAAGCUGAAUGAGAAGUUUUUAUACCUUAUAGAUAAGUUACAGUUAUAUGAGGAUAGCAACAAUUUUAUAAUGAAACUGUUUGUUUCAGGAGGUCUCAGUUCCGAUUGGGUGUGAGACUUGCAGACCGGUCACGUGGUCGUGCGGUGACAGGUGGUUGUGUGGUUGUGGUGCUAAAAUUCAUGCCGAAGAGGAGGUGCCUGGCAAUGACGCAUCUACUUUUUUUGUUUUUGUUUUCCCACAUUUACAAGGUUUCAUCCUCUAACCGUAAAUUAUUUCAGUUUCUUGCGACAUGAUCAAACAAUCAACGAAGCUCCGUCUUCAUUCUAUAUAUUUUUGCUAUGGGAACUGUAGGUGUUUUGAAAAAUAAUGGAAACAAAGACCUCCAGUAACACAUUAGUAA